AACGAACGCUGGCGGCAUGCCUAACACAUGCAAGUCGAACGAACCCUUCGGGGUUAGUGGCGCACGGGGGCGUAACGCGUGGGAAUCUGCCCUUUGCUUCGGAAUAACAGUUAGAAAUGACUGCUAAUACCGGAUGAUGUCUUCGGACCAAAGAUUUAUCGGCAAGGGAUGAGCCCGCGUAGGAUUAGGUAGUUGGUGGGGUAAAGGCCUACCAAGCCGACGAUCCUUAGCUGCUCUGAGAGGUUGCUCAGCCACACUGGGACUGAGACACGGCCCAGACUCCUACGGGAGGCAGCAGUGGGGAAUAUUGGACAAUGGGCGCAAGGCUGAUCCAGCAAUGCCGAGUGAGUGAUGAAGGCCUUCGGGUCGUAAAGCUCUUUUACCAGGGAUGAUAAUGACAGUACCUGGAGAAUAAGCUCCGGCUAACUCCGUGCCAGCCGCCGCAGUAACAC
rnacentral:rRNA from 1 species